rnacentral:rRNA from 1 species
AUUGAACGCUGGCGGCAGGCCUAACACAUGCAAGUCGAACGAGUGGCGGACGGGUGAGUAAUGUCUGGGAAACUGCCCGAUGGAGGGGGAUAACUACUGGAAACGGUAGCUAAUACCGCAUACCAUCGGAUGUGCCCAGAUGGGAUUAGCUAGUAGGUGGGGUAACGGGUCACCUAGGCGACGAUCCCUAGCUGGUCUGAGAGGAUGACCCGCCAAACUGGAACUGAGGCACGGUCCAGACUCCUUAGGGAGGCAGGAGUGGGGAAUUUUGCACAAUGGGCGGAAGCCCGCUGGAGCCCUGCCGGGUGUAUGAAGGAGGCCUUUGGGUUGUAAAGGACUUUCAGCGAGGAGGAGUUACCCGCAGAAGAAGCACCCGCUAACUCCGUGGCAGCAGCCGCGGGUAUAC